rnacentral:misc_RNA from 1 species
AAGUCGUAACAAGGUAACCGUAGGUGAACCUGCGGUUGGAUCAUUAACAGAGCAUCGCUGAGAUCCUGCGCCAUCAAAAGCAAGGGAUCCAGGGAGGGUUGACGGAUUCGGUUCCUCCUCUCCCUGCACAAGCGUCAAACACACCAUGUGAACCCAGAUUUGGCCCUGGCUGGUCUGUCCAUGUCGUCCCAGACAUGUCGCAGGCCCGGGGACAAAGACCAACCUUAUUUUAUCUCCUAUUUCUCUGUCAUUUUUUUCUUUUUCUUUUAUUUGACAAAAGAAAAGCUUGAACAACUUUUGGCAACGGAUCUCUUGGCUCUC